UGCAUCAUGAUUUACAUUUGAGUGAGUGGCGAACUGGUGAGUAACACGUGGGAAACCUGCCCAGAAGCGGGGGAUAACACCUGGAAACAGAUGCUAAUACCGCAUAACAACUUGGACCGCAUGGUCCGAGUUUGAAAGAUGGCUUCGGCUAUCACUUUUGGAUGGUCCCGCGGCGUAUUAGCUAGAUGGUGGGGUAACGGCUCACCAUGGCAAUGAUACGUAGCCGACCUGAGAGGGUAAUCGGCCACAUUGGGACUGAGACACGGCCCAAACUCCUACGGGAGGCAGCAGUAGGGAAUCUUCCACAAUGGACGAAAGUCUGAUGGAGCAACGCCGCGUGAGUGAAGAAGGGUUUCGGCUCGUAAAACUCUGUUGUUAAAGAAGAACAUAUCUGAGAGUAACUGUUCAGGUAUUGACGGUAUUUAACCAGAAAGCCACGGCUAACUACGUGCCAGCAGCCGCGGUAAUACGUAGGUGGCAAGCGUUGUCCGGAUUU
rnacentral:rRNA from 2 species